AUUCAAACAAAAUGCGCUCACGCGCCAAGAUCGUGCGCGAAGGGUCACACUGGCCCGGAAUAGAUUGGCCACACUAAUGUAACCUUAAAUCAGUUGGGAUAUGCGGGCACACUAGCCUCCGCCCAAACCGCUUUAUAAGGCGCAUCCCAACCCUCUGAAAGGCAUUCAGUUCGGCCGGCGAUCGGCGACAAGACCUCCAGGAGGAACUAGCAGGAACGGACCCACAGCCAAGGAGUCGACAGAGCCAUAGGAGGCGGGCAACGACGUGGGAACUAACUUACCAUAGUAGUCUUUCCGUAUUACGUCUCAUUAUCCGGCUCGGUUCACCGCCCCGUGUGUACACUGCAGACCUAAUCGGCCUCUAAACCUGUUAUCACAAUUUGCAGACCUCACAGCCUCAAAACAUGUUCUCAUCGUUAGCAGACCUAAUCGGCCUCUAAACUGUUCUCAUCUAUAGUAGGCCUGAUCGACCUCUCAAACUGUUAGCUGGUAGACCCGGACGGUCUCUCCCAAUUAUCUCCCGUUCACAAGCAGUAAGGAAGUCGCGGCUACGUGACCCGAAGACUAUUGAGCAGCCAUCUCAGGAGUCCGGCAUCCAACCGUAUCCAUCAGAGAGCUGUACAGCCCACCAGGGACGAGACCAGACGCGCCCGAGCCAACCAGCCGCCGAUCCCGCCACGAGGACUGCAGCCACCCUGAAGCGACUGUGAACACUUUGCUUACUUACGAAUAAAGACCAAUUAUCGCCAA